ACGUACGCUGGCGGCACGCCUAACACAUGCAAGUCGAACGAAGUAGCAAUACUUAGUGGCAGACGGGUGAGUAACAUGUAGGUAUCUGCCCUUUGGCCUGGAAUAACACGAGGAAACUUGUGCUAAUACCGGAUAAGUCUUUACAGAGAAAGCUUUAUGCACCAUUGGAUGAGCCUGCACUUGAUUAGUUUGUUGGUGGGGUAAUGGCCUACCAAGACUGUGAUCAAUAGCUGAUUUGAGAGGAUGAUCAGCCACAUUGGGACUGAGACACGGCCCAAACUCCUACGGGAGGCAGCAGUGGGGAAUCUUGCACAAUGGAGGAAACUCUGAUGCAGCGAUGCCGCGUGAGUGAAGAAGGCCUUUGGGUUGUAAAGCUCUUUCGUCGGGGAAGAAAAUGACUGUACCCGAAUAAGAAGGUCCGGCUAACUUCGUGCCAGCAACCGCGGUAAUACGAAGGGACCUAGCGUAGUUCGGAAUUACUGGGCUUAAAGAGUUCGUAGGUGGUUGAAAAAGUUAGUGGUGAAAUCCCAGAGCUUAACUCUGGAACUGCCAUUAAAACUUUUCAGCUAGAGUAUGAUAGAGGAAAGCAGAAUUUCUAGUGUAGAGGUGAAAUUCGUAGAUAUUAGAAAGAAUACCAAUUGCGAAGGCAGCUUUCUGGAUCAUUACUGACACUGAGGAACGAAAGCAUGGGUAGCGAAGAGGAUUAGAUACCCUCGUAGUCCAUGCCGUAAACGAUGUGUGUUAGACGUUGGAAAUUUAUUUUCAGUGUCGCAGGGAAACCGAUAAACACACCGCCUGGGGAGUACGACCGCAAGGUUAAAACUCAAAUGAAUUGACGGGGACCCGCACAAGUAGUGGAGCAUGUGGUUUAAUUCGAAGAUACGCGCAGAACCUUACCAACACUUGACAUGUUCGUCGCGACUCUAAGAGAUUAGAGUUUUCGGUUCGGCCGGACGAAACACAGGUGCUGCAUGGCUGUCGUCAGCUCGUGUCGUGAGAUGUUGGGUUAAGUCCCGCAACGAGCGCAACCCUCACUUUUAGUUGCCAUCAUUAAGUUGGGCACUCUGAAAGAACUGCCAGUGAUAAGCUGGAGGAAGGUGGGGAUGACGUCAAGUCCUCAUGGCCCUUACGUGUUGGGCUACACACGUGCUACAAUGGUAUCUACAACAGGAAGCAAGACUGCGAAGUUAAGCAAAUCCCUAAAAGAUACCUCAGUUCGGAUUGCACUCUGCAACUCGAGUGCAUGAAGCUGGAAUUACUAGUAAUCGUGGAUCAGCGUGCCACGGUGAAUGCGUUCCCGG
rnacentral:rRNA from 1 species